ACCGUAUGCGUACAAGCAGUGGGAGCCUACUUUGUUAGGUGACUGCGUACCUUUUGUAUAAUGGGUCAGCGACUUAUUUUCAGUGGCGAGCUUAACCGAAUAGGGGAGGCGUAGCGAAAGCGAGUCUUAAUAGGGCGUCUAGUCGCUGGGAAUAGACCCGAAACCGGGCGAUCUAUCCAUGGGCAGGUUGAAGGUUAGGUAACACUGACUGGAGGACCGAACCGACUACCGUUGAAAAGUUAGCGGAUGACCUGUGGAUCGGAGUGAAAGGCUAAUCAAGCUCGGAGAUAGCUGGUUCUCCUCGAAAGCUAUUUAGGUAGCGCCUCGUGUAUCACUGCUGGGGGUAGAGCACUGUUUCGGCUAGGGGGUCAUCCCGACUUACCAAACCGAUGCAAACUCCGAAUACCAGCAAGUGUCAGCACGGGAGACACACGGCGGGUGCUAACGUCCGUCGUGAAAAGGGAAACAACCCAGACCGUCAGCUAAGGUCCCAAAGUCAUGGUUAAGUGGGAAACGAUGUGGGAAGGCUUAGACAGCUAGGAGGUUGGCUUAGAAGCAGCCAUCCUUUAAAGAAAGCGUAAUAGCUCACUAGUCGAGUCGGCCUGCGCGGAAGAUGUAACGGGGCUCAAACCAUGCACCGAAGCUACGGGUUCAACGUAAGUUGAGCGGUAGAGGAGCGUUCUGUAAGCCUGUGAAGGUGAGUUGAGAAGCUUGCUGGAGGUAUCAGAAGUGCGAAUGCUGACAUGAGUAACGACAAUGCGAGUGAAAAACUCGCACGCCGAAAGACCAAGGGUUCCUGCGCAACGUUAAUCGACGCAGGGUGAGUCGGUCCCUAAGGCGAGGCUGAAAAGCGUAGUCGAUGGGAAACGGGUUAAUAUUCCCGUACUUCUGGUUACUGCGAUGGGGG
rnacentral:rRNA from 1 species